rfam:Schistosoma haematobium scaffold662_44, whole genome shotgun sequence.
GCACUGCUGAGGAGUCCCACAAUAGGACGAAAUGGCCGUACAGUGC